CGAUCUAUGGCUAAAUUGUUUAUGGCAUCGCCGAUUACAGGCGAGGCGCGAGGGUGCGGGUUCGAGUCCUGCUAGAACGG
rnacentral:tRNA from 1 species